rnacentral:lncRNA from 10 species
CACCACCAAUUUGGAUCUGAGAUCAGACAUAACCUUGCCAUAAGCAGCAAAGGGCUUGGUGAACCCUCAAAAAGGCUGUCAAACACCCAGAGGCCUUGGGGAUCAGGAAGGAGCUAUCAUGUGGUCUUUCAUAAAAAACUGGUUCACCCAUACCAAGCCUACACAUUUCAGCCCAUGAGGAUGGAGAAAAAGAAGAAAUUGAUGACAGAUUCUAUCAUCACAAAAGG